rnacentral:rRNA from 1 species
GGGGUGUCGGGAAAGAUUUCAUCGGUAUGGGAUGGGGUCGCGUCCUAUCAGGUAGUCGGCGGGGUAACGGCCCACCGAGCCUACGACGGGUAGCCGGCCUGAGAGGGCGACCGGCCACAUUGGGACUGAGAUACGGCCCAGACUCCUACGGGAGGCAGCAGUGGGGAAUAUUGCACAAUGGGCGCAAGCCUGAUGCAGCGACGCCGCGUGCGGGAUGACGGCCUUCGGGUUGUAAACCGCUUUUGAUCGGGAGCAAGCCUUCGGGUGAGUGUACCUUUCGAAUAAGCACCGGCUAACUACGUGCCAGCAGCCGCGGUAAUACGUAGGGUGCAAGCGUUAUCCGGAAUUAUUGGGCGUAAAGGGCUCGUAGGCGGUUCGUCGCGUCCGGUGUGAAAGUCCAUCGCUUAACGGUGGAUCUGCGCCGGGUACGGGCGGGCUGGAGUGCGGUAGGGGAGACUGGAAUUCCCGGUGUAACGGUGGAAUGUGUAGAUAUCGGGAAGAACACCA